GCCCCCCAAAUGAUAUAUUUGUAUACUAAUUUCCAGGAUGUGUGAAAGUUACCUUAUUUUUAAAAAUGUCUUUGCAAAUGUAAUUAAAAACCUUCAACAGUUAAGAACCUUGAGAUCAGGAGAACAUCCUAGGUAUUCUGGGUUGUCACUAAAGCAAAUGAUAAGCAUUUUUACAUUGACUCACAGAGAAGAUAGACACACAGAGCAGAACUCAGACAUACAGAGGAGGAGAUGAUAUGACCAUGAAACAGAGACUGGAGUGGUGAUGCCUUCGGCCACAAGUCAAAGAAUGCAAUAGCUGUCACCAGGUUAAAGAGUGCCCAUCUCUGAGAUGCCUUCUAUUUGUACUUGCUGGAGGAGCCAAUCAGCCUAUAUUUGGAAGGAUAUAAAAAUUAAACUUGCAAACUUUAACAAAGAGGAACUAUAUAAAAGCCUAUCACCUCCAUCUUCUGGAACCAAUGUUAACAUCCCAGAUAUAAAGACUGACAUUCUUACAAGUCAGCA